AGUAAAUUGGUUAAGUUAGAAAGGGCGCACGGUGGAUGCCUUGGCACUAGGAGCCGAAGAAGGACGGGACUAACACCGAUAUGCUUUGGGGAGCUGUACGUAAGCGUUGAUCCAGAGAUUUCCGAAUGGGGGAACCCACUAUCUUUAGUCGGAUAGUAUCCUUACGUGAAUACAUAGCGUGAGGAAGGCAGACCCAGGGAACUGAAACAUCUAAGUACCUGGAGGAAGAGAAAGAAAAAUCGAUUUCCUGAGUAGCGGCGAGCGAAACGGAAAGAGCCCAAACCAAGAAGCUUGCUUCUUGGGGUUGUAGGACACUCUAUACGGAGUUACAAAAGAAAGUUAUAAAUGAAGCGGUCUGGAAAGGCCCGCCAAAGACGGUAACAGCCCGGUAGUUGAAAUGGCUUUCCCUCCAGAGUGGAUCCUGAGUACGGCGGAACACGUGAAAUUCCGUCGGAAUCCGGGAGGACCAUCUCCCAAGGCUAAAUACUCCCUAGUGACCGAUAGUGAACC
rnacentral:rRNA from 1 species